UGGGGAAUAUUGGGGCAAUGGGGGAAAGCCCUGACCCAGCAACGCCGCGUGAAGGAAGAAGGCUUCGGGUUGUUAAACAUUCUUUUAUCCACGGGAGCGAAGGACGUGACGGUACCUGGAGAAAAAGCAACGGCUAACUACGUGCCAGCAGCCGCGGUAAUACGUAGGUUGCAAGCGUUGUCCGGAUUUACUGGGUGUAAAGGGCGUGUAGGCGGAGAAGCAAGUUGGGAGUGAAAUCCAUGGGCUCAACCCAUGAACUGCUCUCAAAACUGUUUCCCUUGAGUAUCGGAGAGGCAAGCGGAAUUCCUAGUGUAGCGGUGAAAUGCGUAGAUAUUAGGAGGAACACCAGUGGCGAAGGCGGCUUGCUGGACGACAACUGACGCUGAGGCGCGAAAGCGUGGGGAGCAAACAGGAUUAGAUACC
rnacentral:rRNA from 1 species